CGACGAUUGAGACAAAAGACAACGAUAUUAACACUGUUCCUGUAAAGCUGGCUUCUGGCAGAGAUGAAUGAGAAGGAGGCCGACAAGAGAUCACACGCAUUGUGCACCCCUCCUCAAUGAAAACAAAGCGUGUGGCAUUUAAGGAAGACUGGGAGAGCGAAGCUUUAAUCUGACAGGCUGACAGGCCACAGUGGCCUCAGACAGACCGGGGGAACAGCUGAAGAACACUGUUGUACCACACACAGAGGGGAAAGAGGACAGUGGGGGCUGACGGAAGUUUUUUCUACCAAUGGAUGGAGCCUGUGUAAAUAUUGGACCAUGGACUGGUGUCCAUUGAUGUUGCUGGCCGCGUGCCGUUAACCCUCAGCACUCACUUGUGCAAUGUGGGCAGAUCCAGGGAGGGCAGGCUGCCUACAGAAGCGUGAGCCACAUUGAACACACACACGAGAAACCAAAAUCUAAAGGAAUAAACUACACACACACUAUUGUAUUUACCUGUUUUUUUUUAUUAAAUUUGGGAUUUACCAGUACAAUUAAGAAGAAUAAAAUUUGAUUUCUGGGACCAUAGUAUGGCUUCCUUGUUUAAUAGACUUAUAUCCAAAUUCUAACUUAGGUGCAAUACAACUGCACAGUUAGUACAAAUCUGCACAAAACACAUUUACAAGAAGCUAAUACAUAUCACUGCCAUGGGACUUAAGGUUGAGAAUAACACUAUGGCUAUGAAUAGAAUGGACAAAGUGGUUUAUCAGAUCUAUAGAGCUUUAUGCAAAUGUUUGUAAUAAAAUGUUCUUUCAUUUUCUUUC